UGUGAUUUUUAUUUUUUCAUAAAUCUUAGGACAAUUUAGAUGAUAAAAGUAAUAAAUAUAUGAAAACAGUAUAAUACAGUAAAUAUGUAAAUAUUUGAUGUGAUGAACAAUGCUUAUCUGAUUUAGACCCAACAUGGAAUAUUUUAUGACAGACACACAUCAAGUUGUGUUAUUUAAUGCACGUAAUUUAGACACAAAUGAUAGAAAUGUUAGGUUUAUAUGUCAAAGAGGCCAUGUGAAAAUUUUAGUGCAAAUACGCAUGCGUGCGCGCCGUGCACAUUAAGCCACCCCACCCCCACGUAUCCGCGCGCCGGUCGGUGGGUGUUGGGCGUCAAUAAAGGUAAUCUGGUUGUCGCGCGUUCUGCAUCUCUGCACGAGCUAAAGAAGUCUCAAAGCUGACUCUGCCACGAGGCUCGACAACUUCUUGCAUCAACUGUGAUCGCUGUGGCUGCCAAAACAUCCAAAUGUAAGACGGGCUACAAAGAUUUCAGGCCAAAAGAGAACGCCUCACAUGUGAUGAAGUGUCUGUAUUGGUAUGUAUUUACCAUCUGUGACUCAGAGUCAUUAACCAAUUGUCGAUCUGUUCACAGUGUUGUAUGAUAAUUUAAAUUUUGACGAUGACGAUACAAAAAUUGCUGCCAAACCUGCCAAAAAGUCCCGCCUCUUACCACACACAUGUUGUGCCCCCUAAGUUGCCCUAAGUUCCCUGAUCAAGCAGAAACGUGCUUUGACUGGAUGAAGGCCUUGUAUCAGGUAUACUGGUAAUAAUAAUUUUACAUUCACCUCAGUCUGUUGUUGUUCCUCAUUAUUCAUGGAAGCUUGAUGACACAACAUCUUCAAUCUGCAUGAACUCUAGUUUGAUUAGAAACUUUCAUUUGUGAACCGUCAGCAGAUCUGGUCAUGUCUCACCAAAACAACCACACUAAUCAUUUCAUCAUUUUCAUCCAUUAAGGUUGGAAAAACCAGCAGCCCUCCAGUGCUUCAGCAGCCGUCCAACCAUCAACCGUUUCAGACAUCCAUCCUCCCACCACUUCAGCCCCACAGCCGUCCACCAGUGUGCCAACUUCUGACAUUUUACUAUCCUGGGGGGGGGUCAUGGCCUCUACGCUGGAUUCCAAAAAAGAGACAAAAAAAACCCCGACCUCAACCCCCACUCUUAGUCAGACGUGUUUAUUUUUUUUAUUUACAAUAAUAAAUAAUAUACUAUGUACAUUUAUUUUGUUUUACUUUUUUAUACUUAGUUUCCUUAUUUCCUAUAAUAUUUAUUAGUAGUUGUUGUUUGUUGAUGUUAGUUCUUUUUAGCCCCUUUUAUGUUAAAAUAGACGUAAAUGAUCCAGAUGCUGAUAUUCUAAUAUAUAGACAGAUUUAUGAAUGAAUUAUUCUCAACAGAAGUUCAACGCUAUUGUGGUAGCAGUCUGACUGUUUUACUGUAAUCUGUCGUGCCUCACCCACUGUCCAUCCCAUAAAAAAGAACAAUUCUACAUCAUUAA